rnacentral:ncRNA from 2 species
AAUGAAAUAGUAAUUUGUAUUCGUAUAUCCUCAGAAAUAUGGUUUGAGGGUCUCUACAGGGAACCGUAAAUUCCCGGCUACGAAUAGGGCGGUUUUGGUA